rnacentral:rRNA from 1 species
UAAUACGUAGGGGGCAAGCGUUGUCCGGAUUUAUUGGGCGUAAAGGGCACGCAGGCGGUCUACUGCGUUUGGAGUGACAGGUGGUGGCUCAACUGCCACAGGCCUCUCAAAUACGGGUAGACUUGAGGGCGAGAGAGGGAUGCGGAAUUCCAGGUGGAGCGGUGAAAUGCGUAGAGAUCUGGAAGAACACCAAUGGCGAAGGCAGCAUCCUGGAUCGUUACUGACGCUCAUGUGCGAAAGCCAGGGGAGCGAACGGGAUUAGAUACCCCGGUAGUCCUGGCUGUAAACGAUGACCACUAGACGUAGGGGGUAUCGACCCCUUCUGUGUCGCAGCUAACGCAAGAAGUGGUCCGCCUGGGGAGUACGGUCGCAAGAUUA